UCAGGAUGAACGCUGGCGGCGUGCCUAAUACAUGCAAGUCGAGCGAGAACUUGAUGAUCGAAGAUCGUCUGAAAGAUCAAGGGAAAGCGGCGGACGGGUGAGUAACGCGUAGGCAACCUGCCCUUAGCAGAGGGAUAGCCAUUGGAAACGAUGAUUAAAACCUCAUAAUGCUUUGGAGACACAUGUCUUUAAAGCCAAAGAUUUAUCGGCUAAGGAUGGGCCUGCGUCUGAUUAACUGGUUGGUGAGGUAACGGCUCACCAAGGUGACGAUCAGUAGCCGACCUGAGAGGGUGAUCGGCCACAUUGGAACUGAGACACGGUCCAAACUUCUACGGAAGGCAGCAGUAAGGAAUCUUGCACAAUGGGGGGAAAAACCCCUGAUGCAGCAACGCCGCGUGAACGAAGAAGGCCUUCGGGUUGUAAAGUUCUGAUCUUGGGGAAGAAGGAAGUGACGGUACCCAAGGAGAAAGCCCCGGCUAACUACGUGCCAGCCGCGGC
rnacentral:rRNA from 1 species